CGCUCUGCGGAGAGAUGGGAGGCAAGGACUGAACCGACGGGCCUAGGGUCGGAGCGCCAGAUUGGGAGGCAAGAUCCGGCUGCCUCGCCCAGGCCGCUUGGAGAUCCCUGGCGGCCACCCCCGGAUUUUCCCGGGCCGCGAGGCGGGGAGCCGCCCCCGCUCGGGUUUUCCGCAGCGGAGCUCCGAGCCAGGGACGCGCGGCAGAAGCCGGAGUUGGCCGGACCCGCGGGCGGAGAGGAGGGAGGGGGGCGCGAACUGCUACCUGGCGCAUUCGCGGCUGCGGGGCUCCGGCCGCCUGCACCCUCUUCGCCAGCCCGCCGACCCCGGGCCUCGGGAGGUGUGCGGGCCCCCGGCACUGGCGUCUCCAGGACCUCCUCAGCCUGCACUGAAGCUGCAGCAGGAGAGACUUGAGCUAGACUCCGGGAAGACCGUUCUGACCAAGACCAGCGGCAGACUUUGCCCAGGAUGGCUUUCAACUCCGCGUAGAAGAGGCUUCCCUUCCCCCAGCGGCCGGGCAGUGGCCAGGGCAGGGGGCAGGGGGCUGCAGGUGCUGGGCUGGGGCCCUGCCGGGAGACCUCCCCCCAGCUCUCCCGUCGGCCCGGGCAAGGCUGUUCCCAGGUUGCAGCGUUUCCAAUUCGAGCUCCUCAGGAUGAAUCAUCCCCCUUUCCCGCCGCCUGUCCUCCUUUCCGGCCUCCUCCACCAGAGGCCUCAGUGGCCCGCGUCCCGGACGGAGCAGCACCGCCCCAGCACCUCAGGCCGCCCCAGUUUGGGCUGCCUGGCUUCAGCCCUUCCCGUCCUGGGGCCUAAGAACUGAAGCGGGGCCGGCCACGGGAGCGUCCUGGGAGGAGGCAAGGGCCGUUCCCCGGUCGUCUCUGAGUGUGGAGCCUCUUCCCCAGCCCGAAACCGCAGAAGAGACCACCGCGCCCCGGGCCAGAGCUGGUGCCCCAGCUCCAACUCCGGAAAGGUCGCCCGGAGCCCCCGCGCGUCCCUGCGGGGAGGGAGGCGGAGGCGUGCGGAGAGACCCCAAGACUCUGGAAGGCGUGAGUCCACGCUGGGACCGCAGGGGUUAUAAACUCGGAGCCACAGUCGGAAGGUCUCAGGCCACGGGAAGUUGCUCUGGGCCGGGUCCCUCGCACUCUGGGGUCCCGCGUCCGCCCGCGCCCACACUCCGCCCGGGGGAAAAGGGCGGACCGGGCUCCCGCCCCCCAGGGCCUUUCCGGAGGGAGGGGCCAAACAAAAAGUUGAGGAAAGUGGAGGGCGAACCCGGGGCCCUAGUUUUGCUCACCUGGCGCCGCCGCGCCGGGACGGGCCCUGGUCCGAGUCCGCGCGCCGCGGCUCCGGCCACUGCCGCCGUCUCCGCCGAGUCUUGGCCCCCUGGCCCCGCCCCCUUCCCAGGCCCCGCCCGGCCCCGCCCAAACCCCGCCCCCAGGAGCCCGGGGGACUGACUGGCUAGCACCCCGCCAGGCCCCACCGCUGGAAGCAGGCAGCAGCUCGGGUCUGAGGGUCGCAGGUAAGCGCUGUGUGCUCGCCUGGUGACUCGGAGGAUCCGGGGGCCCGAGUCCCGGACUUAUGUCGUUCGCAGAGGCCUGGGAGGGCCCCCUCUUCCCACGUGGGUAAACUGAGACCCGGAGUUGGAGAGCCCUGCCCGGCUCCGCAGCGAGCGCGCAGACAGGAUUUUCGAAGCCCGCACGCCCUCCCGCGCCUGUCUGAGCCCCUCAUCCCAGGCGCCCGGGAGAGGACUCACGGGGGCGUCUGAGAGCCCACUGCUGCCCCGCGCCGUCCGGGGAGCUCCCCGGAGGAGGCGGCCGGGUCCCUGCUCCGCCCGCCCCCCAGCCUUUCCCCUCCAUGAUCCUCACUGCCUUCACCUGGAAAAUGGGCUUAAUGGUGUCCGCCUCGCAAGAGGCGAAAAUCCAGCGUUGGGGGCGGGCACGCGACACGGGGCGCAGCCUAGGUAGUCCCGCGAGCGCUCAGUGAAUAGGAGCCCGCGGCAGGGGUGGAGGCGGCGGGGCUGAGCCGCUUCUCAGAGCUGAGUGAGUCUAACGGAGGGUCACGGGUCCCGCCGGCCUUCCCUGAGAAGAUGUGCCCCAUCUGGAGUGGGGAGGCGGCGUCGGCCCCCAACGCCGAGGCACUGGGGGCGCCCCCCGCCGCGGGCCUGACCGGGCCGCCCAGCUCUCGAGCCCCGCCCGCCCCCUGAGGCAGGAAUGCGGAGCGGAGCGAGGGGGUCGGCUGGCGGCCCAGUUUCCAUGAUGCGGGGGGCGGGCUCGGAGGAGGAGGAGGGGUGGCGCGGGCGGCCGGCCAGGCUCUGAGCCGCCCCCCCCCCCCCCGGGCCCCCGCAGCCCGGGCCCCUCGGGAGGAAUUUCCGGGCUGGGAUUGAUUAUAACCCGCCCCUCCCCCGGCCGCCGAGACCCCCCGGCCCGUGGGGCGCGGGGGAGGGGGAGGGGCGGUAAUGAGACCCGGCUGUGCGCCCCGGGCGGGGAGGGGGGCGCUCGAGGAAGUCGCCGGCCUGGGCCACCCCACCUCGCAGGGCGCCACACAGCACGGCUAGGCCUCGAACCCAGCUCGGCCGAGUAGACCGGGGGUGGCCUCAGCGCCCCGGGGGCUCCUUGCCCAGCCCUCGGGGACAGGCAUCCCUGGGAGCGACCGAGGCCACCCCUGGGGGCGGAGUCUCCUGCGGGACUGACCGUGAGGCUACCGGCCUCCCGCGGAGCGCAUGGGGCCGAGCCAGGGGUCGUGUAGGGUCGGAGAGCCAGGCCGGGGUCGCCUUCCUGCCGCCGCGUGGGGCUGAAGGCUCCUGCGGCCUGAGCUCGAGAGAGAAGUCCCUCCGCUCUGCGCCUGGGCUGUGGUUCAGGCUCCACUGAGGCGGUGGCCUCCUUCCUGUCCCCUCUUUGCUCGAGACCCCCAGUCGACCUCCAUUCCCGCACAUUGACCCCUCUACGCCGCCCCCCCGCCCGCCCUCGGGCAGUCCCACCUACCGCUCGCUCGACGCUGCACCCAACAUUGUCUGUGGCCCUGUCCCCCGUGGCUGCUUUUCCUGGGGACACCACCUCGAGGCCAAAGCUCAGACAGUCUCCCGUCCUUGUCCUUGCGACUCCACCUGCCCUGGCCUUUAACACUUGCUCUUCUUGCCUGCCCCUCCUGACUUUUAUUCCUCUGGGCCGCCUCUGCCCUCCCCUGACGUUGGGGCUCUGCGGGGCUGGGCCCACAAGCCCAGCCUCACUUUCAGCAACCAGACACCUCCCCAGAAGUGUCCCUGCUCCCAGUGAUCAUGGCCCAUUCCUACUCCUCCUGUUCCCCGCCCUGUAAAGGGCCCCAUUGCCCACCAGAGGACCAUCAAAAGGGGGGGGGGAGGGGGGCGUCACCUUAGGCUCCCUCCUCUCCCCCAUACCCCCCAAUCCUUCAAGUCCUGUGGACCUCCCUCUUUGGAUCCCCAAUUAGCUGCCUUCUCCCCUGGAUCUAAACCACUCACUCACUCUGCUUAAAACCCUCAGUGGCUCCCCAGCGCUGUCCAAAUGGAGUUUAAAAUCCCUUCCCAUCUGCACACACUGGCUCCUGCGCCCCCACCCUCCUCCGUCCCCUGGUAGCUGAACUUGUUCUCAUCCCCAUAUUUGUGCUCUGGCCUUGGGGCUUGGCCCCUGCCUUGACUCCUGGCAGGAACUCCCACUCCCAGUCAUCCCCUUGGUUCCUUCCGGUCCUUCAGACCUUCUCUGCACCUUCUGUGGGCCCCCAGGGCUCGUCAGCCUUGCCCCUCCCCACCCCGCCAUUAUACACCCUCCCCCAGCUCUCCUUUGCUCUGCUCACAGAACUGAAAUCCGUGUUUGGGAUUUGCGCCUAGGUCCUGUGUCCCCUCUGAGGGGAGGACUGGGUCUGUCCUGCCCCUCCCUAGCCCUGGCCCUCCAUUGACCUGUGUCUCCCCCACUCUGGGGGUCCCUCCUAAUGUGCAUCCCUGGGGCUCCAGCCCAGACAGCAGGAAAGGACUCAUCUCCGAGUCUCAGUUUCCCCAUCUGCACAAAAAGCAGGGAAUGAUACUUACCUCCCAGUGCCGUUUUGAAGCUUAGGUAAGAGCACAGAUGUUCCGUAUCUGGCACGAAGUGGCUGCCCACAAAACAGCUGUUCCUUCCUCUGACCCCAGGGUUUGGGGCACAGAAGCCGGGAUUUAGGAGUUGGAGAAACCUUCCCUGGGGUCAUCUGGGGUGGUAGUGAGAAAAGGGUCCUCUUUCCCUCAACAUAAGCCUGCUUGAUUCUCUCGAGAGCUCUGGGAGGCCAGUGAUAGGCCCAGUUUACAGAAGCGGAAAGCGGCUCAGAGAGGCCGCGCAGACACACAGCCAGGCUGCUAAGUGCUCUCCCCCUCCACAGAGGGAGCGCCAUGGCAGAUGUGUGGGAAGCCAGUGGCCUUAGUACUGGGACAUCGGUUCCCUCCUGGAUCUGCCUCUGUGUGACCUGGACUCCUUUACUUCUGCACCAGAAGAGGCCUGGGCGAGGUGUCCCCUGGGGCCAAGGUGGUCGGCAUUUCCCCCCCAAGCUUCUCCCGGGGUGCAGGGAACGGGACACAGGGACCCUGAGGUCCCUUCCUCCUUGAGGCUCCCUGUCCUCUCCGAAAGCCAUGACGGGCAGGGAGCAGCUGUCAUGUCCUGCCUGUCACAACCCCGCCCAGGGCCACAGAAGAGCCGGGCCUGGGAACUCAUCUUCUCUCAUCUCCAGUUUAGGAACAACCCCGCUGGCUGGGUCCAGGCUGCCCCAGAUUUCCUGCCUGAGCCCCAGGGGUGUCUAAAACCAUCCUUGUCUCUGGGCCGUCCCAGAAGCACUUAGAGGACACAGCUGAAUGCCCAUGGGGCCCCAGCCCAGCAAGACCACAGCAUCAACUAAGAAGGAGAGGAGAGAGCACGGGGGCUCCGAGACCCAGUUUUGAUGCAACUGCUCAGUCACUGGGUGAGUCCGGGCACAUCACGGGAGUCCCUCCAUGCUCCUGCCUCUGGAAUGGGUCCUUCACAGGAAGAACUGGUAGGCCGGUUCAGUAAGAAAUGAUUGGCAAGUAGAAUCCAGAACCCCAGUGCCAAUGCCCCAUUAUAUAGGGGCAGAAACCAAUGCCCAGAGAGGCAUGGUGAUUAGACCCGGGUGACCCAGCCUGUGAAUGACAGCUGGGCUUCAGGCCCCACAGUUACAGGUCCCCACCCUGGGCUCAGGCUUCAGGGGUUGCUGGGAUGGGAACCCCAAGUCCAUCCCCCCACCCGUGGAAGCUCUGAGCUGGGCAAUGGCUUCCCUGGUGUCUCUGUCACUGGCAAAGCUCCUGGGAAGAAUGAGCUUCCCGUCUCCAUUGCUCUCCCAAGCCCAGAGAAGAGAAGGAGUACAGCCUGGGUGACACUGGGAAGGCCAAGGAGAUGAGACCCUCCUGGGGGGACAGAGCAAAGCCAGCAUCCUGCCUGAGUCCCUAGGGGAGGGAUGACAGUCGGAAGUCGCCAUCUUGUCAAGCUCCCUCUGGCUACCAGCCCCUUCAUACCUGUUACCUUCCUAAGUGUGCAAGACAACCCUGAGAGGGAGGUGACACUAUCACCCCUUGUCACCCAUGCUACACUAUGUCCCACUAGCCCUGCGACCGUGGCCAAGUCAGUUCACCCCUUAUGGCUCUGUUUUCUCCUCUGCAAAGCAGGGACAAUGGCAGCAGGCGGGCAAAGGCCUCUAAUGAGGAGGGGGCUCCGCAGGAAACACUGUGGCACUGGAGCUUUUCUGGUCUUCAACUGGCUCUUGUCCAUCAGUUUCCUCUCCUAUAUAAUGUGAAAGUGAGGCUAGUAACCCUUCAGCCACCUCCUCUGGGGACCAGAGAGGAGCCAGCCCUGGGCCCCAUCCAGAUGCAUCAGGGGGUGAAGUGAACAGACCAUCCACCAAAAGCUGAGGAAGCGACAGCCGACUCCAUGUGGGGGGCAGGCAGCAGGGAGGGCUUCAUGGAGGAGGGGGCCUUCCUGCUGGGUCUCAGGGUCAGCAGAGUUACCCAGGCUGUAGAGGGGGAGGAUAUUCCAGGCAGCAGGAACAGCAGGUGGACAGCCUGGCAGCAUGGGUGGGGGGCAGGUGCUGGAGAGGGAGUGGGGAAUGGGAUGAAGGGCUCAGGGCCUGAUCACAAGCCUCCUCAAACACCAGGCUCGGGGUGUAGGGCUCAGCCCUCUGGCACUGGGAGCCAUGGGACGUUUUAAAGCAGGGAAGUAGCCUGAUCCAUAUGUACCUGGGGAAGGACUUCACAAACUGUAAGCGUGGCACCUGUAAUAGUUUCUCGAAGAACACAGAGAGAAGGUGCGGCGGGACACGGAGCCCCAGGCCCAUCCAGGGGCAGGUAUGGCGCUGGGGAGGUUUGCCCCUGCAGACGGGCUCUGGUGGCCGUGGGAAAGAGCAGCAGCCCACUGCCUCCCCGUCCUCUGGUUCUGUUCCUGAAGCCGGCUGCUCUGGCCCCCUCCCCCCCAACCCUUCCCAGUUCUCUUGCUUUGCCCCUUCCCCUGGGACCCUCGAGGCAGGAAUGAAGGAAGUGAUUUUGAGAAGAGCCCAGACUUAGGAGUCCAUGACUAAGGCUUGACCUGUUGCCUGGCCACUUACGGGCUGUGUGACCCAGUGAAGAUGCUUCUGUCUUCCUGAGCCCUCCUUUACAUGCUCUGUAGAAUGGAGAGGUGCUGUAAGCCCCCCACUCCCAAAAGCACUGGAAACAUGAAGCGGGUGGGUAAGGACCCAGGCUCCUUCCAUCUUGUUGCUCUGCCAUUCCUGAGGUGUGGCACCCACCUUGUCUUCGUGCUUGAAGAUGCUCACUAGCCUCCCUCCCUGAGUCGAAGACCAGCCAGGGAGAAUGGGGCUGGGAAAGGGGACUGUGCUCCCCACCCCUUAUAAAGGCAUAGCCUCCCAUGCGCACGUCCAGAAUGCUCCCUUCCCAUUGGUCAGAACAAGGUUGUUGGCCACACCCAGCCCCAAGGGAGGCUGGGAAAUGACACUGGGAGACAACUAGGAGUGCUUGCUAGAUACCACGGGGAUGGGGCUCCUCUGUUUGGUGACAAGUCACACUGGUGAUGAGGCAGUGGGGGAGCAGAGGCUGACCCCUCUGGAGCCUGGGAGUCAAGGUGAGAAUCCUCCAGGGCAGGUCGGCAGGGGCAAGGGGGCCCUGGAGUUGGCAGCAGGCUGGCCAGCCAUCUUCCACCCUUUGAUUGUGCCAAGAGAAGCCAGGGGCCCCCUGGGAGUUGAAUCCAUCUACCUGUCCAUCACCCGGCCCUGUGGAGAGCAACUCUCAGGCUCUCACACUAUAUGGUCGUUUCUCCCACCCUGACACUACAACCUCGGGCCGGUCCCAGUUCUGUCGAUAUCAUGGAGUCAAAUGCCAGCUUCCGGAUCUUGAAUGAAGUACUUUGUAAAGUCAAAGUAAGAAGGCCCACGGAGGGUGAGUGACAUGCCCAAGGUCACACAGCUUGAUCAUGUGUCAAGUCGCCCCGAUUCGCCUUUCCCCAUCUCGGUGAGGCAGGACUGCAGUUCCAGGGCUUGGUUCCCAGGGCUUGGUUCCCAGGCCUGGGGCGGGGGGUGGCGGGAAGUACGCCAGAGACACAGCGCUGGAGCCGGGGCGCCAGGGGGGUCCUCGCAGAAGCCUGGGCGCGGCAAGCAGGCGGGGCUCCGCCGAGGCCGGCGUCACCUGGCGGCGAGGCCCUGCACCUGCGCAGGCCCCGCCCCGCCCCGCCCGCGCGCGCACCUCCCUUCCCGGUGCCGAGCGCCGCGUUUGCAGCCCAGAAGCCGGGCCUGGUCCCCAGCCGGAGAUCCUGGGAGCGCAUGUGUGCUCCCCGGGGCCUCAUCCGUGGUCACGGGCCUCCGACAGAAAGGACUCAGCCUGGGGAGGCCGGGCUGCGCGGGGAGGGAGCACACAAAGCUCUGUGGCCAAGCCGAACGGGACGAAACCCCUUGGGGGGAGGGGGGGGGAGUCAGAUUUACCCCGCGUGGGAGCCCCUUCCAGGCGCUGCUGGAACAGGGGCUCCCGUCCGAGCACAGGAAACAGGCACAGAAACCCAAAAUGGUAAGUGACAGAGCUGGGCUGAGCCCAGGACUGCUUGAUUUAAACCCACACUCUGGCCCUGGAUUACCUGUCCGGGGCUCUGCGGUGCCUUCCCUCCAACCAAGCUUGCCUAGCCCAGCCCCUAGCUUGUGUAUCCAGCCCAGGCCUGUAGAAGUUUGCUUUUUUAUCAGACAGGCCACAAUCCUGGGAUGUUUGCGAUGACUGUCUCACCACUGCAAAGCGGACCAGAGGCCCAGGGAGCUCCUGCCCUCCACUUGGAAUGCUGGAGAGGCAGGGAGCAGCCAGACCCCGUGGAGUCCGCAUCAGCUCAUGUUAGGGACCAGGAGACCCAGGAGGUGGCCGGGCUGCAGUGGGCCCCAGCAGGUGCUUCCCUCCCUGUGGCAGGGCUCCAGGCCAGGUCUGUCUGACUCCUGAGCCUCCACACAGAAUUGGGAGAUAAGAGAUAUGAAUUAUUGUCCUUAUUUUACAGAUGGGAAACUAUGACGCAGGGUUAAGUAACUUGUCUGAGGUCACACGCAAGAAGGUAUCUCAUGUCCUCUAAGAUUGGGACAGCAUGCUGACCUCACAAGGGUGUUGUGAGGACCAGGUCACUUGACAGGUGUAAGCCCCCUCCUCCGGGCCUGGUGUGGAGUCAGUUCUGGGUCAGUAUUAGCUCAGUCACUUGACCUCCUACUGAUGUUUUGCAGGAACCUCAUGUCUUAUUCCAGUACAAAGAGAUAUUCUAGUAAGAAGUAGCCAAGGGACGCCUGGGUGGCUCAGUCGGUUAAGCGUCUGCCUUCAGCUCGGGUCAUGAUCCCAGGGUCCUGGGAUCGAGUCCCGCAUCGGGCUCCCUGCUCCGCAGGGAGCCUGCUUCUCCCUCUGCCUCUGCCUCUCAUGAAUAAAUAAAUAAAAUCUUUAAAAAAAAAAAAGAAGAAGAAGUAGCCAAAAGGACGAGGAGAAAACGUCCUUGGACGGUCACAGGUCCUGGCAGUUUCUUCACAGGGACCCCAGCACCUCCAGUCACUAAGCCGAGGUGUCCCUGUGAGGGCUGCCAGGCACCAGCCUCGAUGUCGAGUCCAGUACAGAUUUCGGGCUUGGAAGAACCACUGAUGAUGCUCCAAGAGGCUCUUCAAAUCUCUUGUCAAGAGAUGCUUGAGAGAAAACAUUAGGAUGACUGAAGGAUUAUUGAAAGAACCUACAGUCAACUUAAAAGCAGCGAAAGGACAAAAAUAACACCACGUUGUAGUCACUGAUGUGUGUGGUCCUGAAUUUUUCAUCUUUUUCCAGGAAUUCUCAUCUUCCCAAUGAAGUUGGUUCAGCAAAUGAUAUUUAAUAUCCAAGCCUUUGUAAGACUUUCCAUGGAAAUAAAUUCCUGAAUGGGGAAGAGGACUUCGGAGGCUGGCUUGAGUGGGUGUCCUGUCGGCGUGGGCAGCUCUCGCUGUCCGUCCUGUUCUAAAUACCGCCGCCCGGGGAAACACCUUUGUGCUAGAACUCACUCCUCUAUGUUGUCCCCUCAGGGGGACAGCAGUCGGGAGUCCAAGCCCUGCAGCCUCCAGACUUCCCUCUCCCUUCUGGAGCUUUCUGGCCACAGGUCAGGAUCACAGUCUGGCCACAGGUUCCAUAUUGAAGGCCAGGUGUAGCGCACGGGGUUAGGGGGGUUCUAAUGUGCAUUUCUGUAGGAACGUCCCCCAGGUUCUGAUUAGACUAAGAAACACCCGGGGUUCCUGGAAAGUGGGACUUGAGGAUAAAUUAUUCCAUCUCUCUCAGGAAGAGAUUUGGGUUCUGAUAGGAUCUGAUUAAAUCCCCAGUUGCCUUGGGGUGAGACUCUUGCACUGUGAGUAUAAUACACCUCCGGGAAAGCGGUGACACCUGACCGCCCGGCUCAGUCAACUGGCAGGAGGCGGCGUCCCCUGUCGCGGCCGGCGCACCCAGAGGCCCCCGUGUGUGCCGAAAGCACACACAACCUCUAACACUAUAGUUUUUCCAAACAGCUACGGUUUAGCGUGGCCUGACUGAAAAGCUCACGUACGUGGAAUGAGUUUGUGUGCACGUGUGUCGGGCUCUCGGUCUGCGCCGUCCCCGUGCUGCCUCGCGGGCUGUGACCUGCUCGCUCCACCGGCGGGGUCCUCGGUGCCAGAGACGCGCCGCCGCUUCUCCACGUCACGGGGGCAGACUCUGGGGGCGCUUCUCGUUCGGGGCUGUGACAAAGCCAGCGGCGCAGGGCCUUCCUGUGGGCGCCGCCUGCGCGCUUCUGGCCGCUGCCCCCCCCCCCCCCCCCCCGGGGCCGGGCUCCUCCCGCGCCUCGCAGCCUCGUGGCGCCCGGAAGCUUCCGCGUGCCGCCCCCGGCCCUGUUGCCUCGCCCGUGUCCCUCCGGGUUCCCGUACCGAGCUUGGAUCGAUUUCCGUUUCUUCGGGCGCUAGCGCUGACAGGGAGGCCCUCUGUACUUGCUGAAGCUUCUCGAAGACUAGCCCGUGUCUGGUUCAUCUUUAAAUCCUCCUCAAGACGGGCCAGCGCAGCUGGCGCCGAGGGAUCUAGGCUCGGCCCUGCCGCGUCGCCUGGGUUCUUGCCCCUUGUCCAGGCAGGUCGUCCGGCUCCCGCCGAGGGGCAGAGGAGGCGCGCGGGCGCCGGGGGAGCGGGAAGCACAGGGUUCGGGGCCCCCCUCAGCGCAGCGGCCGCUCUGCCCCCCGAGCUUCCCACUUGCCCUCAGAGGCCCCUGACGCUCCUUCAGGGAGGCCGCUGGGGGGCGGGCUGGGGGCGAGCGGGGACGGGAGUGCCGUGACCAGGCCAAGCGGCCGCCUCGGCUCUAUCCUGGGGACCGUCCCCGGGGCCCCAACCGACGGGGGCCACCAGCCUUCAGCGCCUAACCACGCUUGCGACAAGGACACGGUUUGGACAGGCUUCCCUCGGUUGAUGAACGCCACAGAUGUGUCCUUAACACUUGUCUGAAUGCUGGAGAUGUGGUGUCCCAAAGACCAUAAGAGCAGGCACCUGGAGGACCAACUCUGACCUCAUGGAACAGGACCUCUUAUGAGGUGCUGUUGACCAGCCAUUCUCCAGUGAAACGGAAGAGAAUUCAGUGGUGGAUUCAGCACCACAUUGAGCUGGUACCACAAGAAUCCUCAGGUCCCUAGCACCCUGUCCAGGAGAACAUCAAAAGGAAUCCUGCUUGGACUGUCGAGCCACUGAAGGACCUGAAACUCUAUUUUCGAGAGCUGGUUCCAAGAAAUCAAAGAAUCAUUCUAAAUACAUAAAGUUUCCAUUUGUCAACCCCGAUCUAACCCCAUUUCAGCAGGAAGGAACUAGAGUGGUCGUUGUCCCAAUUCCCUCAUGAGUGAGGAAUGAUCAAAAGGCAGUGGAGAUUGAAACCGGUGACCAACAGGACUAAGAAGUGCAGCUGCAACUUUUUACCCAGGCCUUUUCUGUUGGCCUUAAGUACCCCUCACUCUUCUGCUCCAGGAAGGCGAAUUUGAGCCUUGCCUCCUGUCUCCUUGUUGGGCUACCUCUUGAAUAAACCCUUUUCUUGCUGCACACUCGAUGUCCCCGUGAUUAGCUUUGCUGUGUAUUGGGCAAAUGAACUUGAGUUCAGUUACACUAGGGACAUGAUUGUCCUGUAGCUUGAUGAUAGGUGGCCUGCAAAGCCUUCUUUUAAAGCAUCGGCUUCACGGAGGUAUUAUUUAUGUCAUUAAAAUUCACCCAUGAAGGAGGGAAGAAUAAGGUCAGCCAAGGUCUUCUGACUGGUUACAAUAAAAU